GAGUGGAGUUUCGGAAUAUUGGGCGUAAAGAGCUCGUAGGCGGUUUGUCGCGUCUGCCGUGAAAGUCCGGGGCUUAACUCCGGAUCUGCGGUGGGUACGGGCAGACUAGAGUGCAGUAGGGGAGACUGGAAUUCCUGGUGUAGCGGUGGAAUGCGCAGAUAUCAGGAGGAACACCGAUGGCGAAGGCAGGUCUCUGGGCUGUAACUGACGCUGAGGAGCGAAAGCAUGGGGAGCGAACAGGAUUAGAUACCCUGGUAGUCCAUGCCGUAAACGUUGGGCACUAGGUGUGGGGGCCAUUCCACGGUUUCCGCGCCGCAGCUAACGCAUUAAGUGCCCCGCCUGGGGAGUACGGCCGCAAGGCUAAAACUCAAAGGAAUUGACGGGGGCCCGCACAAGCGGCGGAGCAUGCGGAUUAAUUCGAUGCAACGCGAAGAACCUUACCAAGGCUUGACAUGUUCUCGUUCGCCGUAGAGAUACGGUUUCCCCUUUGGGGCGGGUUCACAGGUGGUGCAUGGUUGUCGUCAGCUCGUGUCGUGAGAUGUUGGGUUAAGUCCCGCAACGAGCGCAACCCCUGUUCUAUGUUGCCAGCACGUGAUGGUGGGGACUCAUGGGAGACUGCCGGGGUCAACUCGGAGGAAGGUGGGGACGACGUCAAAUCAUCAUGCCCCUUAUGUCUUGGGCUUCACGCAUGCUACAAUGGCCGGUACAAUGGGUUGCGAUACUGUGAGGUGGAGCUAAUCCCAAAAAGCCGGUCUCAGUUCGGAUUGGGGUCUGCAACUCGACCCCAUGAAGUUGGAGUCGCUAGUAAUCGCAGAUCAGCAACGCUGCGGUGAAUACGUUCCCGGGCCUUGUACACACCGCCCGUCAAGUCACGAAAGUCGGUAACACCCGAAGCCGGUGGCCUAACCCUUGUGGAAGGAGCCGUCGAAAGUGGGACUGGCGAUGGGACAUCAAAAAAAGACCC
rnacentral:rRNA from 1 species